AAACCAGAAGUGUGACUUUGCCUUCAUUACAGAUAAGGAAGGCAUCCACUGGGGACAUGGUAACAGAUGCUGCCCAGUGCAAAAUGUCACAAUGCAUGGCCUGUUCUCCCCUGUGACCUUGUUUUGUGGUCAUAACAGGAUACAGGAAUCACUUUGAAAUCCUCAAAAGCCCCUAGGCCUUGUGUUAAACCCCACAAGUAUUUAGAGUCCCACAACUACGAAGCUGAAUAUCAAGAGAAAAAGACAGAUUCCAAAAAUGGUCUCAAAGUACCUCCGUGACAGAGAGACACAGAAGGUAAAACCGCCCGAGUACAGGCUGAUCCACAGGACUGUGUCCUGGGAGAAGCCUCAGGGUGGAUUUGGAAAUGCAGAACAGGUUCAUAAAAUCCUCACACACCUGCCACAUAUUCAAGGAAGGUGCUGUUUACUUGAUUGAUUGUUUGUGCUGGUCCUGAACAUCUGACAUGAUUUGUGCUUCUAAAUGGGUGUUUGCCAUUGACUAUAACUAUCUUGGAGUAAUUUAACAAACAACAGUAGGUAUUGGGGCAGGUCAGCGCAUCU
rnacentral:lncRNA from 1 species